AGUGAACGCUGGCGGCAGGCCUAACACAUGCAAGUCGAACGGCAGCACAGUAAGUGCUUGCUCUUAUGGGUUGCGAGUGGCGGACGGGUGAGGAAUACAUCGGAACCUACUUUUUCGUGGGGGAUAACGUAGGUAAACUUACGCUAAUACCGCAUACGACCUUCCGUUGAAAGCAUGGGAUCUUCUGACCUUGUGCGCUUGAAUUAGCCGCUGUUGGAUUAGCUAGUUGGCGGGGUACAGGCCCACCUAGGCGACGAUCCGUAGCUGGUCUGAGAGGAUGAGAAGCCACAUUGGAGGGUGGACACGGUCCAGACUCCGACGAGAGGCAGCAGUGGGGUAUAUUAGGCAGCAGGCGCGAGCCUGAUACAGGCAUACCGAGUGGGUGAUAAAGGCCUUCUGGUUGUAAAGAGCUUUUGUUGGGAGAGAAAAGCAGUAGGUUAGUACCCCGCGGUUGUGACGGUAACGAAAGAAUAAGCAACGGAUAACUUCGUG
rnacentral:rRNA from 1 species